AUGCAUUUCGCAUCAACAUCACAACGUCAGAACUGCAAUUUCUUGGCAUCAACAACAGCAAUAUACAGAAGUAGAAGAGGAGGGGACGCGAUUGAUGAUGAUGAUGAUGAUGAUGAUGGAAAAGUGAGAGACGGAGGCGCCGGCGCUAGGGAUCGACAGAAGGACGGUCGAAAAAAGAAGAAGAUGGUGGUGAUGAGACCGCGGCUAGGGGUUGAGGUCAAAGUGACGAGGUUGAAUGGUGUAAGAGGCGGAGGUGACGACGGCUGA